rnacentral:misc_RNA from 1 species
AACGAGGCCGACCUGCGGUUGAGUUACCUGCGGAGGGAUCAUUAAUGAAUAAACUUGGUCAAGCUGUUGCUGGUUCUUCGGGACAUGUGCACGCUUGCCACCAAUUUUAACCACCUGUGCACCUUUUGUAGACUGGAAACGUUUCUCGAGGCAACUCGGAUUGAGAAUUGCUGCGCGCAAGCCGGCUGUUCUUGUGUUUCUCAGUCUAUGUUUCUAUAUACUCCUAAUGUAUGUAUCUGA